rnacentral:lncRNA from 1 species
CACUGUAGGAGGAAGUGAGAGUGGGGACAAAUGCCUUGAGUGGGAGAGGGCAUGAUGUGUUCAAGGAAGAGAAAGGAGAGUGGGGCCAGAGUCCAUGAGGAGGCUGGAGACGGUUGCCAGGCACUUGAAGGCCAGGUUACAGAGUUUUCGUUUUAUCCUUAAGGGCAAAAGGAGUAAUGCUGAAAGGGAGCGAAGGAUAAAGAAAAGCUCUAGGUUAGGUAUGGGGAAAGUCCUGACCACACAGAAUCAGAAUUUGUAACUGGAGCCGGAGUCACAGAGAAAAGGCAGCUGUAUCUUUGCAGACGUGCUAAUGAUACGUACCUCCACCUGCUUCUUCACAUUCAGCCAAUAAUCACAUUUCUAAUUUUACUGAGAAAAUGGAAGCACUGGGAAGAUCGGAAGAAUCUCUUGAAUGAACUCCCUCAACUCAUAUCCAGUUCUGGAGGCCGGAAGUCUGACAUCAGUGUCACAGAGCCCAAGUCCAAGUGUCAGCAGGACUGCACUUCCUCUGGAGCUCUAGAGGAGAAUCAGCUCCUCGUCUCUUCCAGCUUCUGGUGGCUGUCAGCACUCCUUAGCCUGUGACUGCAUCACUUCAAUCUUUAAGGCUAGCUUCUUCAAAUGUCUCUCAGUCCUGUCUUCACAUUGCCUUCUCUUCUGGGUGUCUCCGUGUCAGAUCUCCCUUUACCUCUCUCUUAUAAGGACACCUGUGAUUAUGUUUAGGGCAUACCUGGAUAAUACAGAAUAAUCUCAGCGUCUCUAAAGAUCCUACGUUAAUUCCAUCUGCAAAACUUUUUUCCAAAUAAAGUAAGAUUUACAGGUUCCAGAGAUUAGGACUGUCUUGCGGGGACAUUAUUCAGCCUGCUAUAUCUUCCUUGUUCUUCCCCUUCAACUCUGGUUCUGCUUUCCAGGCUGGAUUAUGAGUCUCUUAUCUGAAUAUUGAUUUAAAACCUUGUAUUUAACUUUAUCAUGGUACAUAGAAUGAGGAUGAUGAUGUUGAUGUUGAUGAUAGCUAAGAUACAUCAAUUGCUUACAGUAUACUGGG